rnacentral:sRNA from 1 species
GACGAAAAUGGUAAAAUUAUAGGAGAACUCAAUAAAGAGAAUGACAGAAUUUUGGUAGCUCAAGGAGGUCUUGGUGGUAAAUUUCUUACAAAUUUCUUACCAUUGAAAGGCCAGAAACGAAUAAUUCACCUUGAUCUAAAACUUAUAGCUGAUGUAGGCCUAGUAGGUUACAACAUUAAAUCCUGAACUUGGAAAGAUAAUGUACAGUGAUUUCAAACAGAUAUCAGUAGCUGAUCUUCCGGGUUUAAUAGAAGGAGCACAUAUGAACAAAGGAAUGGGCCACAAAUUCCUCAAGCAUAUAGAAAGAACUAAACAACUACUUUUUGUUGUUGAUAUUUCUGGAUUUCAGCUUUCUUCUCACACUCAAUACAGAACAGCUUUUGAAACCAUAAUACUGCUUACAAAAGAGUUGGAAUUGUACAAAGAGGAACUUCAGACAAAACCUGCACUCUUGGCAGUUAAUAAAAUGGACUUGCCGGAUGCCCAACAUAAGUUCCAUGAAUUGAUGAGCCAGCUCCAGAAUCCUAAAGAUUUUCUGCAUUUAUUUGGAAAAAACAUGAUUCCAGAGAGGACUGUAGCGUUCCAACAUAUCAUCCCCAUAUCUGCAGUUACUGGAGAAGGAAUUGAAGAAUUAAAGAAUUGUAUAAGAAAGUCACUGGAGGAACAGGCCAACCAGGAAAAUGAUGCACAUCAUAAGAAACAAUUGCUUAAUUUG